rnacentral:rRNA from 1 species
GCCCAGACUCCUACGGGAGGCAGCAGUGGGGAAUAUUGGACAAUGGGCGCAAGCCUGAUCCAGCCAUACCGCGUGUGUGAAGAAGGCCUUCGGGUUGUAAAGCACUUUAAGCAGGGAGAAAAAGUUAUAAGUUAAUACCUUAUAACCGUGAUGUUACCUGCAGAAUAAGCACCGGCUAAUUCCGUGCCAGCAGCCGCGGUAAUACGGAAGGUGCAAGCGUUAAUCGGAAUUACUGGGCGUAAAGCGCGCGUAGGUGGUUUGUUAAGUUGGAUGUGAAAGCCCUGGGCUCAACCUAGGAACUGCAUCCAAAACUAACUCACUAGAGUACGAUAGAGGGAGGUAGAAUUCAUAGUGUAGCGGUGGAAUGCGUAGAUAUUAUGAAGAAUACCAGUGGCGAAGGCGGCCUCCUGGAUCUGUACUGACACUAAGGUGCGAAAGCGUGGGUAGCGAACAGGAUUAGAUACCCUGGUAGUCCACGCCGUAAACGAUGACAACUAGCUGUUGGGAGACAAUGUCUUUCAGUGGCGCAGCUAACGUUUUAAGUUGUCCGCCUGGGGAGUACGGCCGCAAGGCUAAAACUCAAAUGAAUUGACGGGGACCCGCACAAGCGGUGGAGCAUGUGGUUUAAUUCGAUGCAACGCGAAAAACCUUACCUACUCUUGACAUACUUGGAAGCUCUUGUAAUGAGAGUGUGCCUUUUGGAGCCAAGAUACAGGUGCUGCAUGGCUGUCGUCAGCUCGUGUCGUGAGAUGUUCCGUUAAGUCGGAUAACGAGCGCAACCCUUACCCUUAUUUGCCAGCGAUUCGGUCGGGAACUAUAAGGGGACUGCCGGUGAUAAACCGGAGGAAGGUGAGGACGACGUCAAGUCAUCAUGGCCCUUACGAGUAGGGCUACACACGUGCUACAAUGGGGAAUACAGACGGACGCUAAGCCGCGAGGUGGUGCUAAUCCUAUAAAGUUCUUCGUAGUCCGGAUUGGAGUCUGCAACUCGACUCCAUGAAGUCGGAAUCGCUAGUAAUCGCGAAUCAGCAUGUCGCGGUGAAUACGUUCUCGGGUCUUGUACACACCGCCCGUCACACCAUGGAAGUGGAUUGCACCAGAAGUAGAUAGUCUAACCUUCGGGAGGGCGUUUACCACGGUGUGCUUCAUGACUGGGGUGAAGUCGUAACAAGGUAGCCGUAGGGGAACCUGUGGCUG